AAUCCAUAGGUUAAUGAGGCGAACCGGGGGAACUGAAACAUCUAAGUACCCCGAGGAAAAGAAAUCAACCGAGAUUCCCCCAGUAGCGGCGAGCGAACGGGGAGGAGCCCAGAGCCUGAAUCAGCAUGUGUGUUAGUGGAAGCGUCUGGAAAGGCGCGCGAUACAGGGUGACAGCCCCGUACACAAAAGCGCAUGUGCUGUGAGCUCGAUGAGUAGGGCGGGACACGUGGUAUCCUGUCUGAAUAUGGGGGGACCAUCCUCCAAGGCUAAAUACUCCUGACUGACCGAUAGUGAACCAGUACCGUGAGGGAAAGGCGAAAAGAACCCCGGCGAGGGGAGUGAAAAAGAACCUGAAACCGUGUACGUACAAGCAGUGGGAGCACAGGUUUACCUGUGUGACUGCGUACCUUUUGUAUAAUGGGUCAGCGACUUAUAUUCUGUAGCAAGGUUAACCGAAUAGGGGAGCC
rnacentral:rRNA from 1 species